rnacentral:sRNA from 1 species
AACUUGAUUGGACAGGGUGGGCAUAGGGCCGGAGGCGAUGAUGGGAACGCAACAAUAAAUGAUAAAUCCAUUAUUGCCAGUGAUGAUGAUGUCG